CGCUUAGGCAAUGUCGUAAUAAUUCCUCGUGUUUCUCUCCCCACCCCGCUUGCCACCCUGCUAUCGUUCGACCGAGGUUAAAUCGCCGACGGUUUGUCGACAUGCACGACCGAGUCGCGUAAUAACUUUCGUUAUCGUACGAACCGAGAGUACCGGCGGGGUAGCCAUGAAUCACGUGAGCGUCCUGCGAUCUCGCUUUUCUCUCUCUUUCGCUCUCUUUCCCUCUCUUUCUCUCUCUCUCGGUGCACAUAUAGUCCUGAUAGUCGUAUGCAAUAUACAAGCGCCAUUUUGCACGUGAAGCUUUAAAUAUAAAGAGGCUUUCGCGCGAUAACUGACGAUCAAUUUAGUUACUGGAAUCUUUAGUAUUCAUCUUUGUCGCUAUUUGGCGUAAAAAGCGAAAUUACUAAGAAUGAGCUCUCCUGCAAUGCCAGUGUCAAAUACUUACGACAAUGAGCCUGUUCAAAAUACUCGUACAUUUCAAGGCGAAAUAACAAUCACAAAGUAACCAGGAGUAAUUCAAUCAUCGUUUAAUUUAUACUGAGCGAUAUGUAGCGCUAAAUCAAUACGGUUUGUCAAACCAAUGGCAUGGAUGUGAAGUGUGUACACAGAAGAACUCCAACUCAGUAUUCGCGUCGUUUCAUUAUGAAUCUGAACGUUAGUGAAUCGUUUAGUACAGAGGAAUGUGUCCCGGACUCUACAGAGGUUGGAAUCCAGCCCGCGUGCAAUCAUUCCGCCCUGUGACACCAACAAAUUCGCAAUGGAAGCAUCCAUAUAUGUUAACCUCGAGCCAAUGAGGUUCUCGAUGGCUUCUAACGGACAAAAGAUCGGAUCGAAUCAAGUUCAUUGGAGCUAAGAAAAAACGGCUUGAUCGAUGUCCUGAGAGUGUGUUUCCAGAAAACUUUCUUCACUGAGAUGGAAGGAAGGAAGGUAGAAAAUUCUGCACGGGAUACUGACAUCAGAUUGAUAUAUUUUAAGGUUUCAUCAAAUUUAGUAAAGCCGACAUCAGAUGAUAUUGCAAUACUUGUACCGAUAAUGUUUUUUUUACAAUUUCCUCUUUUCUGUCAAACAAUAUACUCAAGAUACUGUUAUACGGUAUGACGUGGAAAUAUUUGAUAAUAGUUUGCUGACCCAGAUACCAAAUAUAAAUAAAAAAUCAAUUCAUU